rnacentral:lncRNA from 1 species
GGAAGGUGGUGAUUGACUCCGCUGUCCUGGCGUCGUGAGGGAGCUUGUUCCACCAUUGGGGUGCCAGAGCAGCGAACAGUUUUGACUGGGCUGAGCGGGAACUGUGCUUCCUCAGAGGUAGGGAGGCGAGCAGGCCAGAGGUGGAUGAACGCAGUGCCCUUGUUUGGGUGUAGGGCCUGAUCAGAGCCUGAAGGUACGGAGGUGGAUGAACGCAGUGCCCUUGUUUGAGUGUAGGGCCUGAUCAGAGCCUGAAGGUAUGGAGGUGCCGUUCCCCUCACAGCUCCGUAGGCAAGCACCAUGGUCUUGUAGCGGAUGCGAGCUUCGACUGGAAGCCAGUGGAGAGAGCGGAGGAGCGGGGUGACGUGAGAGAACUUGGGAAGGUUGAACACCAGACGGGCUGCGGCGUUCUGGAUGAGUUGUAGGGGUUUAAUGGCACAGGCAGGGAGCCCAGCCAACAGCGAGUUGCAGUAAUCCAGACGGGAGAUGACAAGUGCCUGGAUUAGGACCUGC